GAGGGCGGGAAUCCUAGAAGGGCCGCGGGCGGUGGCUGUGACAGUUGCGGUCGCCGCGCGAGGACUGGCGGAGCCGUGCGCUGAGGAGAAGGUCUGAAGGAAAGAAGCGUUGUUGCUGGGUCGGCUGCGAGCGCGAUGCAGACGCUGAAGCAGAAGCAUCGCCCCUUCUGCUUCAGCGUGAAAGGCCAAGUGAAAAUGCUGCGGCUGGAGGGGAUGGAAAUAGAAGUUACAGGGAAACAGUUCCACUUAAUACGAGGGAGAAUUGUCUAUCGGGAAAGUUGCCCAAAUUAAGUGGCCACACCACUUGGGAAGGGAGUACAUUCCUGAACAGCCAAAGCUAACAGGCAUAGAUGAGCGAGUAUGCUGUAAAGGAGAUUCACACUUCAGGCACUAACUGUGACAUCUAUGGCUUUUUUUAUCAUUGCACAAGCCCCUGAACCGUACAUUGUCAUCACUGGAUUUGAAGUCGCUGUUAUUUUCUUUUUCAUAAUUUUAUAUAUGCUGAGACUGGAUCGAUUAAUAGACUGUUUGUUUUGGCCUUUGCUUGUAAGUGUUCAGUUUUAUUAGACUUUUUUCCUGUCAUAGUGAGACAUCUUAAUAAACUAUGCUUUGGUUUUCUUAAGCCUUUAGGUAAUGUCUGAUAGGCUUAGGAAGGAGGAAUUCUAUCCACUGCUAAUGUGUUCUGUAUUGUCCCUGGUGCAACCACAGAGCAUAAAUCUGAGCUCCAUCUAUUAGAUGUGACUGACCCUUCUGUCAGGAGAAUUCACUGAACUGUAGAUCUUCUAAAGAAAUUUAAACUUAAGAUCCUAGUUAAUAAAAUUAUAGCACAUUCUUAAUCUCUACCUCCCUUUUAAAUACAUGUUGAUAUGGCCUCAAAAUUGGGGGGAGAGAUGGAGGCAGAUACCCAAGUAUCCACGUCUUGCACAUCUCUGACCACCAAAUGGAAAACUGAGAUAAUUUGGGAGACUGAAUAAAGCACAAUGUUAUCUUACUUAAUUCUGGAAACACUAAUGCUAAAUAAUGAACUUAUACUGUACAACCUUAUUUAGUAGCAUAUGAACUUCACCUGCCAUACUUAUAGCAUUAAGAAUAACUGCCCAGUGUAGUGCCUAAAUGGUUCUAGAAACUGUCAAAAUAGGCAAGUUGAAGAUACUAGUUAAGGUGAAUGUGUCCCUGGAUUGUUACCCAGUUCUAGGAAAAACAGAGUGUCGUUACCUCUCUCUCCUCUUUCAAGUCUUACCCUCAAUAUCCUGUCUCUGUAGGUCUCCCUUCUGAGACCUCCUGCUGCCCUUCCCACCUUUAGACUGGUAGCUGCACUGAAGUCUUCCUCUGCUGCACUUGUCUCAUCCUCCUGGGUUCCAAAAUGCUGAUAGCCAAGCUGAUAACCCCUAGUUAAGGAGAGGGACUUUAGAGCUAUUCUCAAACCAUAAGCAUGCCUUCAGGUGGUACCUUCUAGAACCACUUUUGAAGGCCAGUGAUGAAUGUUUCAAGCUAAUCACAAGCUGAACAGAUCCCAAAAGGGGAAAGCUGGGAAACAGAGAAGAUCUUCAUAGCAUCUCUCCAAAGUACUUGAUCACACUUUAGAGCUGGACCUGACUGGAGGGAAGUCUAGGAAAAGAGAUCACAAUGCCUUCAUCAGUUGACCCUCAGAGUACAUAAUGUCAUUUAGUAGCAGAAAGGGCUAAGCUAAAUUAUUCCAGAGAUUUCUGCAAGGACAUGAACAGCAUGGCCCAUAUCCUCUUUACUCAAAAAAUGGUAUAGUUGCUCUUCACAUUCUGCUUUCCAAGGUUAAUAAAACUAUUUAUUUUUCUCCAAACUAAUUCUCUGGAGCUUAUUACAUGUCCCAGUAAUACACUUGGAGCUCUAAGCUGAACAGAACACACUGGGAGGGAGAGUGUCCUAUGUGUACCACACUGAAAUUUAGUCUCCAAAUCUCUGAGGAUCAAACUUUGCUGAUAUUGUAAUCUCUUAGAAAUGGUGCUAUACUGGGGCACCUGGGUGGCUCAGUCAGUUGUGUCUGAAUCUUUAUUUCAUCUUCGGUUUUGAUCUCAGGUUCAUGUGUUCAGUCCCUGUGUUGGGCUCUGCGCUGGGCAUGAAACCUACUUAAAAAAAAAAAAAGAAAUAGUGCUGCAUGGUCAACUAUGGGAUUAUUAUUCCAUUAUGAAAAGAUUCCUCUCUGCUCUUGAUCUAAUGGAAUCAUUUGUUCAACAAGUGUUAAGUGUCUGCUAAUCCCAGCUUCUGUAACAGGUUCUUUGAUAAAACACAAAUCUUACACCUGUGAGAUUUUCAAUGUAGUCAAGAAGCAAGAUAGAUAAGCCAUUCAGUGUAACAGGUGCUGCAAUAGAUGUAUACCCAGGAUAGUGUGGAGGCACCAAACCAGGGAAGGGGACCAAAUCAUCAUAGGCUUGCUUGCCUGGUAGAAGAAGCAGCAUAUGAGGGUCUAGUGGGGGGAAAGAGCAUGACCUCGAGCAGCUGCACGUAGUUCUGAAUGGCUGGGAUAUUGAGUUGUGGAGAAGAGAGGACAAGAGUGGAAGCUUGAGAGGCAGGAGGAGGUCAGAGCAUACAAGGCUUUAUAUGCCCUGUGUUUUAACCCAAAGGCCAUUGGAAGCUUUUAGAGUUUUUUAAGUAGGAAAAUGGCAUGAGCAGCUUACAAUUUAGGGGAUUGCUGGUGGCAGUAUCAAUAAUGGCUUAAAGAGCAACAAAACUAGAGGUAGGUCUCAGAGACCACUUAAAAGUUUGGUUCUAUAACCCUGACAUGAAAAUUAUGAAGGCCUGGACUAAGGUCAUGACAAUAGCUGGGGAGAAAGGGGUUAAUGGGGUAGAAGUGAUAUGAAUAGGUAAAUAAGAAAAACUAAGAAUACCUGCCACUUAAAUAUCUUGAGAUGAUAAUGAGAUAAGAAGUACAGGAAGAAGAAGAGGUUUAAGGAAGGGCCAGGGAGACGAAUGGAAUGAGUUUAGUUAGACAAAUACUAGGUUCUAGUUGCUUAUGGAGUAUUCAGAUGGAAAUGUUCAAAACAGGUCUGAAGCUCAGGAGAAAGAAGAGUUAAACCUGGAAGUCACCACCUUAUGAUGGUAAAUGAUCUCUGAGACUGGUCUAACUGGCACAGAGGGAAGAGCAAGCUGAAGGUAAAACUGGGAAAGACGAACAUAUGGGGUGAAAAGGAAGAGUAGCCAGAGAAAGACAGGAGAGAACCCAAGGGAGGCCCGUGUCACAGAAGGCAAGAGAGGAAAACAUUUCAAAAAGGAGUGGUGAAUAUUACCACAUGUAAAGAAAGAAAAAUAAGUCCUGGAAAAAUAUAUAUAUUCACUGACUGUGUUAAUAGAGGCCCCUUUACCAGAGUGGUGUGCCUUGAGUGGAGAGGUGAUAGUAAAGCUGAGGCAAUAGAUUGAGCAGGAGAAGAGAGACAACUAUAAUUACAAUUGUAACUAGAGUUGUAACUCAGGGCUACUGAGUUGAAACCUGGCCAGGGACAAAGAAGGGUAAUGAAUAGAAUAAGGUGCCUGCAGAGUGGUGGAUGGGAAUAGGAGCCAGAGCACAGAUGGAGGAGAUGCCUGGAACUCUUUUACUGUAACAAAAGUGAAGGAGACAAAGAUGGCUGAAGAUUCCAAUUAAUCUUGCAGUUGUAACUUGUAAGGACUUCUGCCUCAUGACCACUGUCUUUACUAAUUUAGGAAAGGGCUUGGUCAUAUGCAUUCACAUUUAUUAUGUUUAUCAUUGUCCCAAAGUUGCAGUAACCGACACAGUGUGUAGAGCUGGCCUUCUCUGACUGUUAACCUUAAGUGUUCCAAUGACAGAAAACACAAAGUGAACCAGCCCAGGGCUUUGCAGUGGUAUCCAAGUGCAAGCUCAAAAUUUCUGUGAAAUCUCCAUUUUUGUAAUUAAAUUAACAUUCUACACCAUG